AUAUAUAUAUAUAUAUAUAUAAAAUUUUAUUUCUAAAUAUAUAUUUAUUUAUUAUACAUAGUAUUAUAUUUUUAUAUAAAAAUAUUAUUAUAUAAUAUUUUAUUUAUAAGAAAAAUAUAGUUUGCUAUUUUUUUUUACUUAAUUAGCUUAAUUUUGUAGCUUUUAAUUCUUAUAUUCUUAACAAAUAUGAAUAUUUAUGCUAAUAGCAUAAAUCUUGAGAGAAAAAAAUUUAAUUUAAUCGCCGAAUUUUUGAUCCCGAAUUUUUAAUUGGUGAACGUAUAAUAUCCGUAUAAAUCACGUAUCCGAAUAAUUAUCGAAUCCGUUUUUUAACCAUAUUUUUCAACGAAUUUAAAAAUUAAAAGACGAAUUUUAUCCGAAUUAUAUCUGUACCGAAUUUUUGCCGAAUCCGAAUUAACUAACUAUGCUGAUUACAAGUGGGUAUCUGCGUGCGUUCAACGUGUCAUCGUUGUUUAGUGUGGCGCUUCCUCGGAGAGCAACGCGGCUGGGUCCCACUGCCUGCCGAUGCCCACCACGUGUCCACUGCCCAUACGGCGGAGGACGCUUUUAGGGAAGAGAAAUUCUACACUAUCACACUUGCACCACCUCACAAAUAACAAGUCAAUUACAUUCUUUUUUUUCAAAUAAAAAUACAAUAAAAAUAUUUUUUUACAAUCAUGAUAAAAUAUAUAUCUUUAAAAUAAGACAUUUAAUUGGUUUGUUACGCCAUGCCACCAAUAUACUCGUUGCAUUUUAGAAUUUUUCCUCGCGCACAGGGAAAAGUAACAACA
rnacentral:lncRNA from 1 species